GCAGUGCUCUAUCUACACAGGGACCAGUCACUUAGUCUAAAUGUACCUGAUCCCUGCGUGGGUAGAGCAAGGCU
rfam:Otolemur garnettii contig090499, whole genome shotgun sequence.